ACCCUAGGGAUGAAACUAACUUGAAUGUGAUGGAUAAGCUUUUUGACGUGCUGCUGGAUUUGGUUUGUCAGUAUUUAUUAAAGAUAUUUGCAUCAGUGUUAAUCUGGGAUAUUAGCUGAAGUUUUCUAUUUUUGGUGUAUUGUGGUCAGGUUUUUGGUAUCAGGAUGAUGCUGGCCUCAUAAAAUUAGUUAUGGAGGAGUCCCUCCUUUUCAACUUUAUGGAAUAACUUCAAUAGAAAUGGUACCAGCUUUUCUUUGUACCUCUGUUAGAAUGCAGCUGUAAAUCCAUCUGGUCCUGGGCUUUUUUGGUUGGUAGACUACUUAUUACUGACUCAGUUUUAGAACUCAUUAUUGGUCUACUCAGGGUUUCAAUUUCUUUCUGGUUCAGUCUUGGGAGGAUGUAUGUAUUCAGGAAUUUAUCCAUUUCUUCUAGAUUUUCUAGUUUAUGUGGUUUAUGUGCAUACAGGUGUUCAUAGUAUUCUCUGAUGGUUGUUUGCUUUACUGUGGGGUCAUUGGUGAUAUAAACUGCAUGUCUGUGUAGUCAUUCAUGAUACAUUAUGAAUCCCCAAUAAUUAUAAACCAUAACUAAUGUGAACAAUUCAGCUAAAUUAUAGAUGUUAUUGAAUAGCUCUAUUUCAAAUACCAAUCUCUUCUUUUUGGCUAGUGCUUCUCAUGUCCUGUUUAAAUAAUCUUUGUUCAAAUCAUUAUGGUAUUCUCCUCUGUGCUCUUUUAAAAAGCUUUAUUAAGUCCUGACCGCAAGUGAUCGUUGGGAGGCCAAGGCCUCAUAAAGUGCUGAGAUUACAGGUGUAAGCCAUGGCGUUCAUCAUGCCACUGCACUCCAGCCUGGGUUACUGGGUAAUAUUUUUUUAAAAUAUUUUAGACUCUGUCUAAAAAAAAAAAAAAAAAAAAAAGAAAGAAAGAAAGAAAGCUUCCUCUUGUAUGGGGAAAGUCACUACUGUAUGUUAAGACUAGGCAUUGAUUUUCAAAUGAUUCACAUUUUCCAUGUAAGAAGAAAAAAGAGCUACGUGUUAUCCUCACAAAUUUGCUGUUAAGUCCAUAUAAUUUAACUACCAGUUGCUUGAUUUUUAGGGUUCUCCAGAGAAAUAGAACCAAUAGGAUAUUGAAACUGAGGACUUUUGCUCAUUUUGCUUUUGUGUAUAUAUGUGUGUAUAUGUGUAUGUAUAUAUACACAAAAGCAUA
rnacentral:lncRNA from 1 species